rnacentral:tRNA from 2 species
GGAGAGGUGGAUGAGUGGUUUAAGUCGCACGCCUGGAAAGCGUGUUUGGGAUAAUAUCCCAACGGGGGUUCGAAUCCCCCCUUCUCCG